rnacentral:lncRNA from 1 species
GGGUGACUGUGCAAUUUGUUGUCCAGCUUUCACUUUCGAGAGCCACAGGGGUGUUUUCAUAAUUAAGUUGGGGAGGGCUUAAGCAGACUUGUCCCUUGGCAAGCCUGGGAUAUGCAGUCCCUGCCAGGUUCUGGAUCCCAGAUAAAAAUGGAGAGAGGAAGGGCUUUCCUCAGCUUCUCCACCCAGCUUAGGAGAGUAAUAGCAGCUUGCAAACAACCUGGACUAGUGCGUUGGCUCCAGAGAAGAGGUCAGGAGAUUCGGAAUCUCCAUCAUACAUUUCCAACUUGCAUGCAAAAAUAAUCAGGAACCUAAGCACAGUACCCAGAAUUUGGGGGAACACAGGAGAGAGUGAGCAGUCAGUGAUGAGAGGGGCCGGUGCUGGCCUAUCCUCGGAUUAGGGGACUCUAGUGAAUGGAUGUCUUCGAGUACGUAUCCGAGGAGUGAUUCCACUGUUACCUUUCUGACAAACAACUGAGUAUGCCCUGUGCAUUCAUCCAUAGCACACACUCCCACCUCAGUUCAGAGGUGGCCUGUCCAGUCACACUAAUUUCUUGUCACCAGUCCCAAUCCCAGAAGCUCAGUGGACAAAUUGCUCCCAGGGGGUGACAAACAACUUGGAUAUUUCAAGAAGGUAAGAACUGAUUUUUGAACCCAAGACCUCAGGUGUUAGGCAAGCGUUCUACCAUUGAACUACAUCUGAGUCCUAAUACGUGGAAUCUAAAAAAGAUAACAAGGAAGUAGAAGGGAGACUACUGUUAGAUAAGAGGAAAGGAAGAAGGGGAAGAAAGAGCGGCGUGGGUAUAAGGACAGAUGAUAGAGGACAUGGAUAUGAUGAAAAUACAGUAUACACAUUGAAUACCCCCCUCAAAAUAUGUGAAGCUAGUGGGGGAAGAUGAGGUAGUAAGUGUGGGGGAAAAUGAAUAAAGUAUGUCCUAUGGAUUACAAAUGUGCCAGAGGAAAGCCAUUAACGUGAUAACCAAUGUGUACUAACAAAUGUGGGGGGAAAAGGAAAGUAAAAGCGGGUGGUUCGGGGUGAGAGAGGUGGGUGUGUGGGAGGGUAGGCAGAGGAAUAACCAACCCUGAGAAGCCUUACCCCAGUCUCGUUUUAAAAACUCAGGUUUUUUUUUCUCGUAGUUGCCUUAGCUUUGAGGCUGUCUGGAGAGAAUGGAGAGGCUGAACACGUGGGACACAGGAGGCUGGGCCAGCACUGGAGCACCGCAGAUUCCCCGUGAGUAAGAGUGAAUCACCAGCCCAGGCUUCCUCCUGGCCAGGCAGAGGCAAUGGCCCAGUUUUGUAAUUGCUGAAGGUGCUUGUUGUGGAGAGUCAGUUGCCUCGCCCUGAUCUGCAUACAAUGGGCCACUGCCAGCCCAGAGACCCGGAAGCAGCCUUCCACAGUCACACCUCAGCUUCCCUGUCCCUACUCCAGGCAGUUCCAUCCACUUCCUCAAAAAGCAUCCUCGAAUUUUCCUCAGCCAGCCCCUUCCUGUCCUGUCUUCAGGCUGGCAAGCGACACUGUUGACAUCAUGUCUGCCGAGGGAGGAGAGAUUCCAAGAGGUGACUUGUGAUGUCACCCUCAUCCAAGACUGAAGGUGUUUGGUCUUUUGUCAUCUGCUGUGCAUUCCUCUGUGUCUUAACUGGAGCCAGAGUCCCUGAGGCACAGCCUAGGACAGGAAAGUCACUCUGAGAUGGUUACAACAUCUUUCUUUCAUCAGUAAAUCCAGAGGACUCAGAGGUAGUGUAAAACUAUUGCUGUGGGAUUUGUUCAUUCAUUCAGUGAGAAAUUUUCCAUUUUUUUGAAGCUAGCAAAAGGUGCAGGCUGGUGGCCUUGGUUAGUAUCUGACUGACAAAAGACAGAUUUGGAUUAAAGCUUGUGGGAUCCUUGAAUGCUGAUCCAAGUACUGCCAUGGAUAGUAUCCAGAGGGGAACCAUUGAAAUGUUGCCAGAAGGGAAACAAACCCAAUUUUCUCAUUCUCACUACUUUCCUGUAGACAGUAACAGUUUGCCCAUCGAUCCAACAAACUCUGUUGUGCCCCUCCAAGAGCACAGGGAUGCUGGCUGCAGGGUGCAGGAUGGUGUCCCCAGGGCCUGUUCUGGUCCCUCAGUGAGCAAUGGCAGAGCCUUGGGCCCGCCCCCAGGGUCCAGAAGGGAAAUGGGAAGCAAAGGCAGAAGCCAGGAACAGGGACAGCUGGUUGGCUGACCUUCCUACCCAGGUCCAGCCCUCCCCCAAGGUGUGACCUGUGCGAGAAAUGGAUCCACAGCUGCAGUUUCAAAACCGGCCCUGCCCAAGCUGGUCACCUCCAUUGCAGUAAGUGACCUACAUUAAUGCUACUGCUGGGGCAGGCAGGGGCAUGAGUGCUGACAGGAGAGUUAAAUUAGCCUGGGAGGUAGGCACCGGGGAAGUUAAGUAGAAAGUAAAACCCAAAGGAUGGAGGUGCUUUGGGGACUGUGAGGGGGAGGUGGGCUGGGAAGAAAGGCAGCAGUCAGCCCAGCAGGGUGGCCUGCUUUGGGGGGCAGUGGGAAUCAGGCAGGAAAGGCAGGUUUGAACUAGCCUAUGGGUGUCCCUAAAGUUCAAGUAAUUGCCCAGGUUGGAUUCAGAGAAGAUCCCAGUGUGUGCUGAGGAGGAUCAAAUACUAACUGAGAACCGCACAGAUGUCGGAGACUGUGUUAGUGAAGGGGUUCAUCAUGGGUGUGGCUUGCCCCCCAGGGACAGUUUCUAGUUUGGGGGAUGGGUCAGAAAUGUGGUAGCAAUAUUUGCAGGCUCUUCAUGUUGCUUAGGGAGGAGGCAAAAGACCUGACUGGGAGGGCAGGAUUGGGGUGGGUAGGUGGGUGGGGCUGUACACCACCAGGGUUCUGCAAUAAUCUCUCAGUCACAGACCGAAGAGAGAGCCAGGGAAGGGAUGAAGGACUAGGCAGGGACCUGAGGCAGGAGUGGAAGGGAAGAUGGGAGAGUGGAGGAGCAGUCACUUGGAUGGAUGGACAGGGUCGGAGGAGACCAGGACGAAAGGCAUCCAUAGGAAAAUGGGUGUGGCUUGGUACUGGGUGAGACAGCUGCACGGAAUGGGAGGGGAAGAAAAAGGACAGACACGUGGGCUCUGGGGAUGUGUGCGCUGCCUUGCUCUCAAAUCCGGUUGUUUUCCUAUAGCUGGGUUUUGCUUUUAAAUAAAUCGGUUAUUCCUUCCUGUUAUAGAAAGAGAAGAAAACUCUCCCCAGCCUCCCAAAGACCAAUACUGCCAACACUUUGGAAAUAUUUCUGUCAGGUCAUUUUUCCUGCAUCAAUUUCUGUUUGGUUUUCACAUUGUUCUAAUCAUACUGUGUUUACAACUUUGUAUCCUGUUGCAUUUAACAUCCAGGGUGUAUCUGGAUUUUUUUUCUGCAUGUUAAAUUUAUCCUGGUUAUUAUAAAUGUUCAUUUUCCAUAUGUAGUUAUGUAAAGAGUAUCAUUCCAUUGUUUUUUUUCUUUCUUCACAGCAAACUUUGAAAAUGUUGCUUCCUCCCCAAUUCCUCCUCUCUCUCUUUCAUCCUUCUUUCUCUCUUCCCUUUUCCCUUCCUGCUGCUUACUAGUCCCCCCUUACUGCCUUCUUCCAUCUCUGGAGUCAGGAGCAGGGGCUCUUUCCUUGGUAAGAGACACAGACAGGACAUCUAUAAAGCCACAGGUCCAGGAGUCCUGGGGCACCUGCUUGGCAGAAGGAAAACAUCUGAUGAUAAGUCUCCCAGCUGAUUGGUAACUAACUCCACCCCUGGGCUGGAUGUGAGGGUGUGGAGAGGCAGGUGAGGCUGGGGCAAGGUGUCUCAAGAUGUUACCUAGGGUGUUUAAGAAUAUAGAGUCUCGGGCCUGGGAUUUAGCUCAGUGGUGCCACUGCCUGCCUGGCAAGCGCAAGGUCCCGAGUUUGAUCCCGGGUACCAAAACAAAACAAAACAAGAAUAUAGAGUCUUGGGUCGGGGAUUUAGCUCAGUGCUGCUGCCUGCCUGGCAAGAACAAGGUUCCAAGUUCGAUCCCUGGUACCAAAAAAAAAAAAUAAAUAAAAAUAAAAUAAAUAUAAGAAUAUAGAAUCUCUGAAAAAUGGAAAUAAAACACAUUCCAUUUAGAGUGAAAGAGGGUCUGGUCUGUCAGUAAGCCCUGGCCCAUCGUGGAAAGAGCGUUUCAUUAUCAUAGAGUAUUCACAGUAAUGUUUCAAAAAACCUGUGAGUCCUUCUUUUGCUUGGUGUCAUUAAUGGGCAGGUGUACACAGUCCCCACCUCCGCCACCUACACACUGUCCUUCCUUCUUCUCUGUCUGUCUGUCUCUCUCUCUCCCAACCCAGUGAAAUUUCCAAAGGCAUCUUUGUUCAGUAAUCAUGACAAUCUCCCUUGUCCCAAAUGCUUCCCUGUCCCCAGCCCCUGUGCAUAUAUUUCUCAUCAUGCCACAGGAGGUAGGGACUAUCACGCCUAGAGCAUGCCUUGCUUGUCCCCAGUCACUUGACCAGAUCACACAAAGAAAAAGCAGGAGAGCCUGGAUUGAAACUCAGAGCAGGGAGUAUACCAAAUAAAGCACCCCGCCAGGAAGAAGGGGUCACCAGUGUCAGGCUGAAGACCCCUCUGUGCAGCUGCCUGGAGACUCCUGCAUGACCUUCCCUUGGGGAAGCAGCUGGGCCUGGCAUGUACCCACCCACUAGCCACAUGUUUCCUGCCCCAAAUGUCAUUUGACCAUGAUAUAAUGAGCUGUAUAAAAUUAAAAAUGGCUAAAUACCACCUUAUUUACAGUAAUUUUCUACUUUCUGAAGUCAUCCCCAAACCUCUCCUUUACAACACCGACCUCCAGAUCAUGCCAAUUGCAGUGAGAAGCCCAUCAUUACAACCACAGACCACGAGGAAACUAGCACAGGACCUGGAGCUUGCUGGCUCACUGGCUGCUGCUCUGGCCCCAUCAGCCUGUUUUUCCAUCACAUGCUUUUUAGGCAGUAGGGAACUGGGCAGAGGGAACCCUCAGUUCUCUGCCCCCAAACUGGGGACCCUUAAGAAUAUCUCCAAGUAAGCAGCUGGGUUCAGAGGAACGUGUACAUCCACUUGCCGGAGUUGGAGUUGGGAUUUGGGCUUCUGCAAUCUGCACUUGGGCCUUACAAAGUGUGAGUCUUAUUUGUAGGUGGCUCUUGAGUCAUUGUUGUGUCUUAAUCUGUGUGGACAGUCUUGCAGCACCCUCCUUCUUCCUAAGGCUAUCUGUUAUGGACUGGAUUGUGUACCUCUUCCAGCCUCCAAUUCAUUUGUUGAAGCCAUAAUGUGGCUCAGAAUGUGACUAUAUCUUUACCAAGGGCCUUUAAGGAAUUCAUAAGUUAAAUAAGAUCACAUGGAUGGGCCUUCAUUAGAUAGGACCGGUGUCCUUAGCAGAAGAGGAGGAAACACUGGAGCUUGCUCUCCUCAUGCUCACAGAGAGAAAGAGGGCCCUGCCAACACCUUGACCUGGGAUUUCCAACCUCCAGACCUGAGAGAAAAAAAAUUCUGUUGCUUAAUCUACUUGGUCUGUGGUAUUUGAUUAUGGCAACCUUAGAAAAUGAAUAUAUCGUCUGUGUGAUUUCUUAUAUGAUAAGGUCUUACAAUGAAACAUAAAUGAAUUGAUGACUAUUUCUAUAAGGAAACUGAUAAGAACCCUUGAGUUAUCAUGGGAAGAGUUAAAUUCUCCAUGCUUGAGCUAGUUUAGCCAGUUCUUUCUUAUUGGCAAAAAUUCUACAGUUGAAAUUAUUUAAGACAUUAACUAAAACAAUCUUAAGUCUCUCUAUUUCCUGCUCUUUCUGUUCCCGUUACUUUUUUUUUUUUUUUUUUGAGAUAGGAUCUUACUCUGUAGCUCAGGCUGGCCUUGAACUUUCUAUCCUCUUGCCUCAGCCUCCUGAGUGCUGGGAUUACAGGUGUGUAACGACCACAUUUGGCAUCCCACUACUCUUAAUCACUCUCAUUCCUCCUCCUCUAGUCCAACCCUUGGCAAGUCAGGGCAUUGGCCUGUUGACAUUGAGCACUCUUCCAGGCCACCUCUGUGUUAGGCACUGGAGGUAUAGGAAUGAAGGAAGCAGAUCAUGGCCCUUGCUCUUACAUGGCUUCUGUUGAAGUAGGGGAAAGCAGAAAUCAAAAUAAACAAGGAAUGUAUCUGAGAGUGAAAAGCUAGUGAGUAAUUCAAACCACAGCAGUGUGAUAGUGGCUGAGAGCCUGCUGAGAUGGGGCAAAGAGAAACCUGUCCUGUCCACCCUUUCAGAAACAUUUUUCACCUUGCCUCUGUUGCCACCCCCACCACAUGAACCCAUGUGCCUUGGCUGGGUUCCUGCCAAAGCUUUCUGACUGGUGGUCUAUCUGCCACCUCGUUGGCCUUACUGUAAUCUACUUUCCAUAUAGCAGUUAGUGGAUUAUUUUAAAAAUGCAGCCAGUUCUCAUUAUUCACAAUAGUCAUGCUCUAUAAAGUCAACUCAAACACUGAAUUAGGGAAUGUGGAAACAUUGCUCCUGGGGGGAAUGCAGGGCUGGCUUCCUUCAAGCCUCUGGCCACAACACUCCUCCACCCAUCACUAUAUGACCUUGUUUUAUGUGAGUUUCUGUGUAGACACCUUGUUUAAUCCAUAUUUCUGACUCACUAACAUUGAACUCUCAGCCAGUUGCACCACAGCAGCCUGCAUGGAGCUUCUCUACCACGUGUACACUCUUCAUGAGGCCCAGUUAGCCUUCCUGCACUCCUGACAUAGACAGUGCUGCUGUUCCGAGGGAAUGUGGGCCCGAGGAGUGAGCAUUUGAGAAAGCAAAACCAAUGAAAGAAAGACAAGAAGUGCAAAGAAAGAAGAAAAAAGGCACUGAAGACAUUGUUUACAUUCUGAGAGUGGAAACAAGGCAGAGUGUCUCCCUGUCCGACCUUAGCUGGGAGCCCACAGAUCGGGUGACUCACUUUCACUUUGCUCCUGUCUGUGAAUGACUUCAGACUUGCUGCCCAGAGUUGAUUUAGGGUUACACACAUGUAUGCGCGCUUGUGUGUGCACGUGCACACACACACAUAUACACAAGCACACACGCAAAUAUGGUUUUCAAGAGUCUCAUCCAAAAUUCGGGGGUUGCUAAUGUGAUGGUUCUAAGAGGUAGGGCCUUUGAGGAGCAAUGAGGCCAUGAGGCUCCUCAUCUCUGAGUGGGAGGACCCAGAGACAUGGGCCAUCUUGGAAGCAGAGAGCGGCCCUUGCUAUGGUGUGCACCAAACCUGCUGGUGCCUUGGUCUUGGACUUCUCAGUUUCUAGAAGUGUGAGAAAUAAAUUCUAUUUUUUUAUAAAUUACCCAGUUUCAGGCCUUUUGUUAUAGCAACACAAAGACACGUGCUCACACUGCACAUACACACUGCCUCCUUGUUUUUUCUUCCCCAUUUUUCUUUCUCAAUUUGAUCAUUACGGCAGGAACAUUUCUCUUUAUUCCAUUGGUGAGCUACAAGUGCCAUGUAGGAGUUGAUGUUCAGAGGGAUAACAGACUCAGUGCCUCAAACCUUCAAUAUUUGUUAAGUAAAUGACUGAAUGCUUUAGGAAAAGUCCUUGAGUUAGGAACUAUUUCUUUACACUGAAAUCCUCAGUUCUAGUCAAUGUCUAGCUGUGGAUAGCUAAGUUUGAUAAGUGACUGAAUGAAGAAUAGAAUGACAUGUUUUAAACACUAAACUAAAGUAGAAGAACAGUGCUUAGUGACUCUGAAGUUUUUGAAAAGUAUCUAGAUAUUCUCUUCAGAACUUCACAAAAUUAUUUGUCAAUUUCUUCAUCUAUAUUUAGACUUACUUUACUUUGUUUUUUUAAAAAAAUUACUUCUUCAAUAUUGUUUUUUAGUCUUCUGACUUUAAAAAGAUUACUCAAUUUUAUUGAUUGCCAAUAAGAAUAUUUCAGCUCUGCAGUGAUUUAAAAAGAUUUUUAUAGAUGGAGAACUUAAUCUUUAUCUAUUUAUGAUUAUGUUCAUGAGAAAAAUAGAUUCCAAGGCCCAAAAAUUACACCUUACCUAUUGAUUUCUGAAAAUGUAAUUCAUUUCAUAAUGUGGG